rnacentral:piRNA from 1 species
UAGAAAUGGGUGUGUGUGGAAGGCCG